rnacentral:rRNA from 1 species
UACGGAGGGUGCGAGCGUUGUCCGGAAUCAUUGGGCGUAAAGGGCGCGUAGGUGGCCUGGUCAGUUCGUGGUGAAAGCGCGGGGCUCAACCCCGCGUCGGCCAUGAAUACUGCUAGGCUUGAGCACUGUAGAGGCAGGCGGAAUUCCGGGUGUAGCGGUGGAAUGCGUAGAGAUCCGGAAGAACACCGGUGGCGAAGGCGGCCUGCUGGGCAGUAGCUGACACUGAGGCGCGACAGCGUGGGGAGCGAACAGG